UCUCUUGGAGCUCUAGCUCACCUCUCUGGUGUUGUUCUUGUAUUCAUCUGAUUAAUCUAGUUCUUGCCAGUUCUUCUUCUUGUUAGAUCUUGAGUCUGUAUUUCUGUGUCCGUGACACAUGGACGGUAUGGAUCAUGACCAUCAUAACCAUGUCCAACCAUUGGUGUGGACAAUGGAUAAGCAUCAAUCAUAUUAAAUCUUUGCAAG
rnacentral:lncRNA from 1 species